AAGUAAAAGUCGUAACAAGGUCUCCGUUGGUGAACCAGCGGAGGGAUCAUUACCGAGUUUACAACUCCCAAACCCCUGUGAACAUACCAAUUGUUGCCUCGGCGGAUCAGCCCGCUCCCGGUAAAACGGGACGGCCCGCCAGAGGACUCCUAAACUCUGUUUCUAUAUGUAACUUCUGAGUAAAACCAUAAAUAAAUCAAAACUUUCAACAACGGAUCUCUUGGUUCUGGCAUCGAUGAAGAACGCAGCAAAAUGCGAUAAGUAAUGUGAAUUGCAGAAUUCAGUGAAUCAUCGAAUCUUUGAACGCACAUUGCGCCCGCCAGUAUUCUGGCGGGCAUGCCUGUUCGAGCGUCAUUUCAACCCUCAAGCCCUCGGGUUUGGUGUUGGGGAUCGGCGAGCCUCACGGCAAGCCGGCCCCGAAAUAUAGUGGCGGUCUCGCUGCAGCUUCCAUUGCGUAGUAGUAAAACCCUCGCAACUGGUACGCGGCGCGGCCAAGCCGUUAAACCCCCAACUUCUGAAUGUUGACCUCGGAUCAGGUAGGAAUACCCGCUG
rnacentral:rRNA from 1 species